rnacentral:rRNA from 1 species
AUGAGUCUCCUCAGCUGGAACUGCCGCGACGCGGGCAAGGCCAUGACAGUCCAAGAGCUUCGUGAGCUAGCACGAAAAUUUGCCCCUACCCUGCUUUGUAUCGUCGAAACCCAAAUUGAUAUAUUUAGGGUAGAAAAUCUAGCAAGUACUCUUGGUCAUGACAAUGCUUUUGCUGUUAGCAUUCAAGGCCAUAGUGGUAGCCUCGGAAUAUUUUGGAAUAACCCAAUAAAGGUUGAAAAUUUGGGCUACUCAAUGUAUCAUAUAGAUUGUAAGAUAGAUGUGUUGGGGAUCGUUGCAGAAAUUAAAAAAUUUCUACGCAUCACCAAGAUCAAUCUAUGGAGUAACUAG